rnacentral:rRNA from 1 species
UACGUAGGGUGCAAGCGUUGUCCGGAAUUAUUGGGCGUAAAGAGCUCGUAGGCGGUUUGUCGCGUCUGCUGUGAAAAUCCAGGGCUUAACCCUGGACCUGCAGUGGGUACGGGCAGACUAGAGUGCGGUAGGGGAGAUCGGAAUUCCUGGUGUAGCGGUGAAAUGCGCAGAUAUCAGGAGGAACACCGGUGGCGAAGGCGGAUCUCUGGGCCGUAACUGACGCUGAGGAGCGAAAGCAUGGGGAGCGAACAGGA